UCCCGGAUGUGCACGCCCGCGGCCGCAGCUGAUCCGCUGUAUGUUCUAGAAGAAGCCUGAGAGUGGGAUUCCUGGGGAGUAGGAGCCUCACACCUCUCGCAUCAUGGUGAGGAAGAACAGUAUCCCCAACGGCUCCAAUCUGAGGGGUACUGGGCAGAAAGACAUCUCAUCAGAACCCAGGAAGCAAUGAGAAACUGUCUCAUGAAAGCCUCCAGGGAAGAUAAAAAGGAGGAUCAUAAGCUUUUUUUUUUUUUAAGCUUUCUGCCAAGACUCAGAUUGGCUCCAGUUCAAGCCUCUGACUAAAUGAAUAUGUGAAAAGUUUCCAGGAUGCCAUAGCAGAACCACCCCCUUACCAUGGCAUGAACUUUCGAUACUUCUUUAGAUAUAAGCAAUGGAUACAAGAUCUCCAGAAGCAUGCUGUUAUGAGGCUGUCUGUAUCUCCCCCGAAUUCUUAUGUUGAAGCCCUAGCUCUAGAUGUGCUGGUAUUAUGGGGCCUUUAGGAGGUAAUUAGGAUGAGGUCAUGAGGGUGGAGCCCCCAUGAUGGGAUUAGUGCCCUUGUAAUGAGAGAGGUGAGAUCUCCCUCCCCCUCCCCCUCCCCCUGCAGCUGUCUGCAAGCCAGGGAAGGGCUGUCACCAAAACCAUUCUUUGCACUCUGGUCUCAGACUUCCCAGCCUCCAGACUGUGAGUGAUAAGUUUCUGUUGUUCAAGCCACCCAGUCUAGGGUAUUUUGUUAUAAAAGUCCUAAUUGACUGAAACAGGUGCACAAAAAGACGGUAACAUUGGGAAUUCCCUAGCGGUCCAGUGCUUAGGACUCGGGGAUUUCACUGCCAUGGCCCGGGUUCAAUCCCUAGCCACGCAGCAAGGCCAAAAAAAAAAAAAAAAAAAAAAAGACGGUAACGUUGAUUGGCUCUUAGGAGAGGUGCCUGGAGCCAGGCGGGGCAGGGAGCCAAUAGUGGAGACAGCCGGCAGGGGGCGCUGUUCAUUCUCUCGCUCAGGUACCCAGACUGAUGGAGAGGCCAGAAUCUCUUCUCAAGCGUUGCUGGUCACUGUGUCAGGUGGAACAGAAAGCUGGGAACAGAGUGACACUCGCCACUGCCAUCCACGACUCAUCAUCCAGGACAGACAACAAAGCCCGCGAGUGCCGUCGUAUUGGGCCCCUAAUGAGGUCAGGGAUUUUGGCGCUGAGCAAGGAAAAAUAUAUGACCACAAGGUGGCAGUGGCACACAAGGAAUUUUCUUUGGAGGCUGUUUUGAUAGGUUUGCAUGUGAGAAGGGUCCUCGCUGCUUGAAACCUGCCAAAGGCAAAGGGCUGGGGGCUGCUACCCAGAAGGGGCGGUGGGCUAGGGAACAAGAGGGCUAUUGAAGAGGAGGCUUCUGGGUCUAGGCGCUGUUGUUCCCCUGCACAGGCAGGGAGCCUCGGGUCAGAGAGCUCCAGCCCACAGCAGCAGUUUGGGGUCUUGUGGUGGUACAGGGUUUACCUAUGGCUAGCAGAUGCUGGCUGCAGUUUCUUGGGGUAUGCAAAGCAGGCAGGCUCUAACUAGUUAAAAAUCUGCUUAUUGGGUCUAUGUUUUAAACAAUUGCAUGUGUAAAAAUUUGAGUUUGGCGCCAAUGGGCUUUUGAGCUAACGGAUCUCAGCCUGCUGUGAAGAAGUACACGCAUAUACAGAGGCCUUCUUUGGUUCAUUUAUGUACUAGUGCCCCAAAUGGGGAUCAUUUGGAGACCCUUGGUGUUGGGUCAAAAGGCAUGCCGCCCCAAAGUGUGCUUCAAUGGCAUAUUGGUUGUUUUGAAUUAAAGGUACUACCCAAGCCCAAACUUUGCAUUAAAUUCCUUACUAAUUAGGCAUCCACAUCUAAGAUUUUGUCCUGUCAAAUCCUCACAAAUUUAUUGUUUGUGUAAAAAUAUAUAAAAGCUGCCUGCUUUUGUUCACUCUCUGAGCAUCAUUUUAUUUUAAUUUUUAAAAUUUAUUUAUUUGGCUACACCGGGUCUUAGUUGCAGCAUGAGGGAUCUUCGUUGUGGCAGGCAUGUGGGAUCUAUUUCCCUGACCAGGGAUCGAACCCGAGCUCCCUGCAUUGGGAUCGAGGAGUCUUAA